CCCAGUGACCCAAAGUUAAACGGCCGCGGUACCCUAACCGUGCGAAGGUAGCACAAUCACUUGUUCUUUAAAUUAGGACCAGUAUGAACGGCCACACGAGAGCUAUACUGUCUCCCCUCUUCAAUCAGUGAAACUGAUCUCCUCGUGAAGAAGCGAGGAUAACCAUAUAAGACGAGAAGACCCCAUGGAGCUUUAAACUUGUACCGCUGCCUUAAACCAUACCAGUUAACUUAGGCAAGAGACGGCUACGAGUCUUUCGGCUGGGGCGACCACGGAGAAAAACCAAACCUCCCUGUUGAAAGGGACAACCCUAAUCAAAGAGCUACUGCUCAAAGAAUCAACAAACUGACAUAAUUGACCCAAUUUUUGAUCAACGAACCAAGUUACCCUGGGGAUAACAGCGCAAUCCAUUUUAAGAGACCCCAUCGACAAAUGGGCUUACGACCUCGAUGUUGGAUCAGGGUAUCCUAGUGGUGCAGCCGCUACUAAAGGUUCGUUUGUUCAACGAUUAAAACCCU
rnacentral:rRNA from 1 species